rnacentral:tRNA from 1 species
AGUAGCAUGGCUUAGUGGUUUGAGUGUUGGACAAUGACUCUGGAGACCAGGGUUCGAAUCCCAGUUCGGUCA